rnacentral:rRNA from 1 species
GAUGAACGCUGGCGGCGUGCCUAAUACAUGCAAGUCGAGCGAACGGACGAGAAGCUUGCUUCUCUGAUGUUAGCGGCGGACGGGUGAGUAACACGUGGAUAACCUACCUAUAAGACUGGGAUAACUUCGGGAAACCGGAGCUAAUACCGGAUGAUAUUUUGAACCGCAUGGUUCAAAAGUGAAAGACGGUCUUGCUGUCACUUAUAGAUGUAUCCGCGCUGCAUUAGCUAGUUGGUAAGGUAACGGCUUACCAAGGCAACGAUGCAUAGCCGACCUGAGAGGGUGAUCGGCCACACUGGAACUGAGACACGGUCCAGACUCCUACGGGAGGCAGCAGUAGGGAAUCUUCCGCAAUGGGCGAAAGCCUGACGGAGCAACGCCGCGUGAGUGAUGAAGGUCUUCGGAUCGUAAAACUCUGUUAUUAGGGAAGAACAUAUGUGUAAGUAACUGUGCACAUCUUGACGGUACCUAAUCAGAAAGCCACGGCUAACUACGUG